GGAGUCAUGGGUGAAGGUUUAAGCAAGGAGUGAGCUCUCUCUCCCAGCAGCCUUGCAUGUUUAUUAGCCUUGCGCACAUUACAUCAUGUUGCAUAUACACGUGUAGCACUCGGGUGGAAAACAGCUAGGGUUUGCAUUUCUUAGAAUAACUAUUCUCUACCAGGACAUAACUCCAGACAGCAUGACAGCCGCGUAAGCUUUGCGGUUAGGCAGCUGACAGUGACCCAGGCGUGUGGGGGGAACAAGUCAGCAGAGUCAGCAGAUGUUUCCUCUUGCACAAUCUUGCACAAGGGUGCUAUUUUUCUAUUGCAUCCCCACA